rnacentral:lncRNA from 1 species
GUCUGAUUUAUUUCACUUACUAUUACAGUCUCGAAGUACACCCAUUUUCCUGCAAAUGACUCAAAUCUGUUCUAUGAAGAACUCAAAUCUGUUCAGUAAUGAACAGGGAAAGGAAAAGAGAGCCACCAAAGUGAAUGAGGAUGCUAUAGAACUUCAAACCCAAUAUGUUGGCCUUGGCCCUCCAAUGUCAUCAAAGAUCCGAGAUAUGAAGGAACCUUUUCUACAACACCUUACAUCUUUGGUAAGUCACCCAACUGCCUGAUCAGGGAGAUUGCUUAAUACCAGAGGACAAAUGUACCAUAU